UGGGGAGUUGUAGUUUGUUGAAAUCCGUCAUGUCAAUCAAAAAGUGAAUUUUGAAUUUUUUAUAAGUUACGACUGUUUGCAUUUCAGUGACAAUAUGUAUGUACAUAUAAUAUUAAAAA